GCUGGCGGCGCGCCUAACACAUGCAAGUCGAACGGCACCCACCUUCGGGUGGAAGCGAGUGGCGAACGGCUGAGUAACACGUGGAGAACCUGCCCCCUCCCCCGGGAUAGCCGCCCGAAAGGACGGGUAAUACCGGAUACCCCGGGGUGCCGCAUGGCACCCCGGCUAAAGCCCCGACGGGAGGGGAUGGCUCCGCGGCCCAUCAGGUAGACGGCGGGGUGACGGCCCACCGUGCCGACAACGGGUAGCCGGGUUGAGAGACCGACCGGCCAGAUUGGGACUGAGACACGGCCCAGACUCCUACGGGAGGCAGCAGUGGGGAAUCUUGCGCAAUGGGGGGAACCCUGACGCAGCGACGCCGCGUGCGGGACGGAGGCCUUCGGGUCGUAAACCGCUUUCAGCAGGGAAGAGUCAAGACUGUACCUGCAGAAGAAGCCCCGGCUAACUACGUGCCAGCAGCCGCGGUAAUACGUAGGGGGCGAGCGUUAUCCGGAUUCAUUGGGCGUAAAGCGCGCGUAGGCGGCCCGGCAGGCCGGGGGUCGAAGCGGGGGGCUCAACCCCCCGAAGCCCCCGGAACCUCCGCGGCUUGGGUCCGGUAGGGGAGGGUGGAACACCCGGUGUAGCGGUGGAAUGCGCAGAUAUCGGGUGGAACACCGGUGGCGAAGGCGGCCCUCUGGGCCGAGACCGACGCUGAGGCGCGAAAGCUGGGGGAGCGAACAGGAUUAGAUACCCUGGUAGUCCCAGCCGUAAACGAUGGACGCUAGGUGUGGGGGGACGAUCCCCCCGUGCCGCAGCCAACGCAUUAAGCGUCCCGCCUGGGGAGUACGGCCGCAAGGCUAAAACUCAAAGGAAUUGACGGGGGCCCGCACAAGCAGCGGAGCAUGUGGCUUAAUUCGAAGCAACGCGAAGAACCUUACCAGGGCUUGACAUAUGGGUGAAGCGGGGGAGACCCCGUGGCCGAGAGGAGCCCAUACAGGUGGUGCAUGGCUGUCGUCAGCUCGUGUCGU
rnacentral:rRNA from 1 species